rnacentral:rRNA from 1 species
AUAUUUCACAAUGGGCGAAAGCCUGAUGCAGCAACGCCGCGUGAGUGAUGAAGGCNUUNNGGUCGNANAGCUAUUUGAUCAGGNNNNNUAAUGACAGUAACUGAAAAACAAGCAACGGCUAACUACGUGCCAGCAGCCGCGGUAAUACGUAGGUGGCGAGCGUUGUCCGGAAUUACUGGGCGUAAAGGAUGCGUAGGUGGACAUUUAAGUGGGAUGUGAAAUCCCCGGGCUCAACCCGGGAACUGCAUUCCAAACUGGGUAUCUAGAGUGCAGGAGAGGAAAGCGGAAUUCCUAGUGUAGCGGUGAAAUGCGUAGAUAUUAGGAGGAACACCAGUGGCGAAGGCGGCUUUCUGGACUGUAACUGACACUGAGGCAUGAAAGCGUGGGUAGCAAACAGG